rnacentral:rRNA from 1 species
ACCUUAUAGCUAGCCCAAUUAUUUUAAACAAAUUAAUCACCUUAAAUAAUCCAACAUAGACUAUUAAAACAAAACAAACCAUUUUUCCAUCUAAGUAUAGGAGAUAGAAAAGAGCCUAGGCGCGAUAGAGAAAGUACCGUGAGGGAAGGCUGAAAGAGAAAUGAAAUAACCCAGUUUAAAGCACAAAAAAGCAAAGACUAAACCUUG